rnacentral:rRNA from 1 species
UACGGGGGGGGGCUAGCGUUGUUCGGAAUUACUGGGCGUAAAGGGCUCGUAGGCGGCCUUCUUAGUCGGACGUGAAAUCCCCCGGCUUAACCGGGGAACUGCGUCCGAUACUGGGAGGCUUGAAUCCGGGAGAGGGAUGCGGAAUUCCAGGUGUAGCGGUGAAAUGCGUAGAUAUCUGGAGGAACACCGGUGGCGAAGGCGGCAUCCUGGACCGGUAUUGACGCUGAGGGAGCGAAAGCCAGGGG